rnacentral:misc_RNA from 1 species
AAUUUUGAGGAAAAUUAAAGAAAAUCAUUUAUUGUUUGAAAAGAAUUUAAUCACUUCAAAAAUAAGGACUCUGGGUUCGGAUCCAUAUACGUGUGGGGAACACCCCACAUCGUCCCUUAAUGAGGGCAAGUAGAUUCAAAGGUGUGCUCUUUAUAUUACUGGGAUUUUCAAACUACCAUGUUGAUUCUCGUAUCUAUCACAAGAACAUUUUAUUUUUCACUAAUUAGAGUAAUCCCAAAUACGGGGGUAAAUGGGGAGUCUUUAAGGUGGG